UUUAUUAAUCUCUCAAAUGUUAGAAUUUCCAAUACAAUGAAAAUAAAGUCCUAUUUAUAUGAAAACCCUACGAUCUAAUUAAAAAGGUAAAAAUACGUCCAAAUAAUCCUAAAAAUAAUAAAAGAUUAGAAUUCUACUCAAAAUAGGAAACUCGUGGAAAAUUGCAACUUUGGUCCGCGAAGUAUACUAUGUGGUCGCAUAGUAUAAAUCAAUGCAGUCACACCUAACAAAUAGUCAACCUCAAUUUUGUCUUGAGAAUAGCCUAUGCGGUUGCAUGGAUUUUAAGCUAUGUAGUCGCAUAUUUUAAUUUUUGAAACCUCCCCUUCAUUGUGCAGAAUUUCGUGACAAUUCUGGAUUAUACUCAUGGGCGAAAAUCCAACACCUAAACUAAAAGUUAUGCCCAUUUUAAUCCACACUGCUCGUUUUUCCAUAUAUCGUCCAAAACAUUGAAUCCAAUACACCAAACAUGAUUUCGCCUUUAUGACUAACAUGUAACUUGACCUUAAGCUUUAAAACAUCAUCCUUUGUAGUCCGGUAACCUCGACGCUUGAUUGCAUGAUUUCAUUGGCUGUGAUCAAACCCGACUUUGCACUUAGUCUCUUUCCGCUAAUCAUGGAACUUGUUACAUUACACGUUAAUUCCCACAUUUCGAAUUCCAAAGCUUGAUCGUGAGAUUUUCCAUCUUUAUCAACCCUUUUUAACCUCCAAAUGAGCUUGAAGCUUGGUAUUAACUGACUUCCAACAAUCGUCAAUUAAUUGAAAAUUUGGAGCCUAGCCCGGAUCAUAUCAUCCCCUUCCUAUUCGAAAGGAUUCGUCCUCGAAUGUGGAACUUCAAGCUUUGCAAUGCCAUGGAAUGUUUUAUUCUCCUCCCAUUUGCCAUCUUAGAACAAAUUCAACUUUAUGUUCGGCUUUCCAUCUACUAGAACAUCAACCCGCUCACGUUUAAGAAUCUAAUACUCCACACUGCCAUGGUUGACUAACUCUUCUUCAAUGCCCUACAAAUGCUCCGAUUGCAAUGUAUCAACUGGAUAUUCAAAUGGUGUUAACACUUUAAGAAAGUCCUCAUGCAAUAGAUUUUCACAUUCCUGCAUCAAAGAUAAAUUCAAACUAGGGAUGGAUUUGUUAGUCCUCAUCAACUCACUCUCAAGCUCAAUCUUUUUUGUAAAGAAGCCUGCCUUACAAUUUUCUCUCUGCUCAAAAGACUCUCAUUCUUUUCUCUGAUGUGGGUCUACUCGAUUUUUCUCACACUUAGCCACCUAUCCAUUUUCUCUCGAGCUCUCUUUUUGUCU
rnacentral:lncRNA from 1 species